rnacentral:rRNA from 1 species
AACGAACGCUGGCGGCAGGCCUAACACAUGCAAGUCGAGCGAGACCUUCGGGUCUAGCGGCGGACGGGUGAGUAACGCGUGGGAAUAUACCCUUUGGUACGGAAUAGCCCCGGGAAACUGGGAGUAAUACCGUAUGUGCCCUUCGGGGGAAAGAUUUAUCGCCAAAGGAUUAGCCCGCGUUGGAUUAGGUAGUUGGUGGGGUAAUGGCCUACCAAGCCGACGAUCCAUAGCUGGUUUGAGAGGAUGAUCAGCCACACUGGGACUGAGACACGGCCCAGACUCCUACGGGAGGCAGCAGUGGGGAAUCUUAGACAAUGGGGGCAACCCUGAUCUAGCCAUGCCGCGUGAGUGAUGAAGGCCCUAGGGUUGUAAAGCUCUUUCAGCUGGGAAGAUAAUGACGGUACCAGCAGAAGAAGCCCCGGCUAACUCCGUG